CAGUAUUCUAAGGAUGAUACAAUUAAGGAAAAUAUUCGUUAUAUUGAUGAACCUGAUAACGGUGAUUGAAUUAUCAAAAAUUGGUGGAGCUACGUAUAAACAUACUAUUAAAAGAAUAAUGAUUCAAUUAUUUUCUAAUAAAGUGGCAGAACAAUAUAGUUGGAUAGGAUUUAAAGGAAAAAAAUAAAUUUUCUUUACGUAUUUCUGCUGCUAUAAUAAAAGCAGUGCAAAAAACACACAAUACAAUAACAUUAAACGAAAUUGAAACAGUUAUG